AAUAAUAAUUUGGGUUUAUUCCAAGCAGGUGAAGCAUGUUAAAUCUAAUACUAGUUUAUAUGUUGGUUUUGUAAACACAGAAAACAUGAGCAUAAUAGUUUGAACAAAAUUCACAAAAAGAUAAAUAAUCCAUUCUGCAUAAAUAAACAAAACUAUACUCAUAAAGUAUAAAUAUCAAAACAUAAUUCAGUUUUUCUUGUAAUCACUCAACAAGAGAAACAUAGAAAUAGCUUAACUCAAUAACAAUGUACUUAAUCACUUCCUAAACAAAACAAAAAAAAUCAGUUAUUGAGGCAAAUAUAGAGACAAACACACCCUUGUUCCAUUCCAAACCAACUCUAACAAACACCAUUCAUCUUAUCAUUCAGCUUCUUCCUUUCCAACACAAACUUCUUCCAAACCGCAGUUAUUUCUCUCUGAGUCUCCAAAGCACUCUUUUUAGCACUCACAACUUCACCAUUAUUCUUCACAACCUCUUCAACAACCGUAACACUACUACUGCCACUUAUCAUCUUUAUCCUCGCAGCAAAUGCAUCGAGCUCGUGCAACACUUUCUCGAUAUCGACCACAAGGCGCUCCGCUAAAGUCCUCGAGAAAUCCUCCCUUAUGACAACGCGUAAAACGGUUAUGUGUUGCGCGUCCGGAGGCAUGCUGUAUGCCGGAACAAUCCAUCCGAAGCGCCUCAACAAGUCCGAGAUUUGGAAUUCGUCGAAGCUUGUAUGGUUCUUCAAUGUGAAGGCCACUAGAGGGACACCGUCGUCUUUCGACACGAUGUUGAAGCGCCCCAUUUUCUCGAGUCCUUCUUUUAAUACUAUCAUGUUGUCUCUACAAUUUUCCAUCACAUUUUUAUACCCCUGCAACAAGUUAAUGCAGAGAAUUAGUACAUCACAUGAUUUUUGAAGUGUUUUACAAGAAAAAUAUGAAUGUUUUCAUACCUCAAAACCAAGGCGAAUCAUUUGAUAGUAUUGAGCAAUGACUUGGCUAGAACCUGCAUUUCAUAGUUUUGUUAAAGAACUUAUUAUAUAUUUAUAUAUUCAGGUUCUCAAAUUCACUGCACUCAAGAAAUCUUGAUGGUGUGAUCAAGACCAGACAUCUCAGAUUUCAACUUGAUAUUUUCAAUUUGAUAUACAAAUUCAAAUACGAGUUGUCUGAUCUUGAUCUAUCCAUUUGAUCACGCGAUUUAGCAAAUGCUAAAUCACGGGUCGAAUUCCUAUUAAGUACGUACCUUUGGAGAAGUUGAGGGUAAAUGUAGGUUGAUCAGCUCCAAGAUAGUUUAUGUGAAAGAUGAGUUCCUCAGGCAAAUCAUCCUUACUUCUCCAAAUAGCCCAACCGAUUCCGGCAUAAACAAGACCAUAUUUGUGACCACUAACAUUGAUGCUCUUCACUAGCGGUAAACGAAAAUCCCACUCGAGCUCGGGAUAUAUAAAUGGAGCAAUGAAUCCACCACUAGCUGCAUCAACAUGAAUAGGAGUGUCCCAUCUACAAAAGAAUUUCACAUAUCAGCUCGUUAAACGUCUCUGAUUAUUCAACGAAUCUAAAAAGUAAAUUGUCUGGUAUAGAACCUACCCAGUUUCCUUAUUCUUUUCAACAAGGAGAUCGUUUAAGCGUUUAACAUCUUCGAACUCGCCAUUCAAUGUUGAACCAAGAAUAGCCGCAACGCAAAUAGUGUUCUCAUCAACCAAUUCCACAGCCUUUUCAGGGUCCAUUACAUAGUAUCCUUCACUUAGUUUCACCUCUUUCAACUCCACUUCGAAGUACCUUGCGAAUUUCUCCCAACAAACCUUCAAAUGGAAGAUAAUUGAAGCUAUUAAACAAUUGAAUAGUAGCACAAACAAUGUGAGAAAGGAGAAUAUGAUUUUGAAUAUAUAUGUAAUAUUGUAAUGUACCUGGACAUUGGCUCCUGUGACAAUGUUGGGGUUGUCAAAAGGCUUUCCCUCUAGUUUUCUUUUGUUCUGCCAUUUUCUUUUGAAUGCUAAUCCUGCUAACAUUAUGGCCUCUGAUGAACCAACAGUUCCAACACCAACUGCAGCUUCAGUUUCUUCAAGGGGUGCAUUGAAAAGAUGAGCUAUCAUGUUAACACACCGAUUCUGCAUAUAAAUGUCAUGUCAGAAACAUUUACUAUUCUGCAUAUAAAAUAAAUUUCUUACCACUUACAUAAAUUUAUUGUAGCUAUUUUUAUUUUAUUUAUUAUUUGUGAAAAAUAAUUAGUUAUGACAUUUUUAAUAAAAAAAAAUAGAAUAAUUUUUUACCUAUAAAACAAAAUAAAUAAAUUAAAAAUAUAAUGGAUUUUCUUAUUUACAAAUUUUUAUUUUAUUAUUAUAUUUUCUAUUUCUUUUUAAAUUUUGCAUUUGCAGAAAAAUGUAUUACUAUUUAUUUUUUAUUUUUAAAACUCAAUAUAUUAUUAAUUAUUAUUUUAUUAAUAUUAGUCCUAAGUAUUCUUUGCAUAGAAAAAAUAAUUCAGAAUAUUGUAAGAAAAAGAUUUAAAAAAAAAAGCAUUUCAAAGAUAUAUUCCUAUGCAUAAAAAGUCAUACAAAACAACAAAAGUUAACUUAGAAAAUUAAUUAUUGGCUAAUAAAAUGCAGGGCUUCAUUAAAUAUGCUCAUCUACUAUAGCCAUGGAGGGGACCUCAAAUCAAAGAAAAACAAAUUAAGCAUUUAAUAUAUGUAUAAUUUAUCAAUUAAGGCAAUGUCAAAAAAGGCAAUUGGAUUAAAAAAUUAGCGACAAAAGCAAAGAAAGUGCCAAAAAAAAGAACUGUUUAAUUAAUCAACCAUCCUGUAUUUGUCAACAACAAAAAAUAAUUAACCAUAUCUAAAAAACUAACACACAACUUGGGAUUUUUUUAUCAAGAGAAUAAAUUAUUUAUACUCCAUUAUUAGAGCCUUAGAAAAAAAACAUAUUAAAUGCUUUAAAAUAGUGUAAGUAUUCAGUUUUUGACAACAAGAUUUAUUAAUAUUUAUAUAAUAAUAAUAUUUUUUUACUAAAAAAAGUCAACAAAGUAAAAGUAUAAUUUUUGUACUAAAACUGUUAAAUACACAAUUUUUAAUACUUGAUUGACUAACUUGUUGCUCUAACAUUUUCUAUAAAUUAAUUAAAGAUCAUAAUAAAAAAAAAUAAACAAUAUAGUACUAGUAGUAUAUACCUGUAAUUCAGUGGUGACAGGGUAUUCAUCCAUGUCAACGUAGUUCUUGUUGAUGGAAGCCAUGAUGAGUUUAUCACACUCUGGCUCCAUCCAUGUUGUCACAAACGAUGCCAGAUUCAACCUAGGAUUUCCAUCCAGCAUCAGUUCAUCGUUUAUGAUCUGAUAUGCUGCAUCCUUUGGUAUCGAUUCGUCCGGCAUCUUGAAUCUAUAACAAAAUUCAGCUAAUAUUAGUAAUAAAUAUUGAUAAUAUACACUGAUACUGACACGAGACAUCACCAAACAUAUACACAUAUUUGAUCAAAAGUGUUAAUAAUAUAGACAUUUUUGAUCAAAUACUUGUGUUUGUCUGAUGAUGUCCGUUGUAUAUAAGAGAGUUUGUGGUUUUUGUUGUUACCUAGGAAGUGAAGUUCUGACGUAGCGAGAAGCAAAGGUUGAGUGGACGGAGACAUCGGACUCGGAGGCUGUUUUUGAGAGAACCAUGGUGGUGACAAAGAAAGAGCUGUUUGUUUGUUUGUUUAAAUGUGUUGUUCGGAUUGAUGAAAUGAAACAGGGGACACGGCAUAUAUAUAGUAUAUAAAUAUACAGAUUAGUGCGCUACAGGUUUUGUCUCAUUAAUUGUAAUAGGUAAAAGGACCAAUCAAAAACUCUAUUCAACAGAAGGAAAAAACAACCAAUUGAAUACAAUUCUAUAUAAAGUCAAAGACUCUUUCUACCGUGUGACUUUAUAACACGGAACCACUCCUUCUAUUUAAGAUGCUUUAAAUUAAACUAUAUAAAUUUAGAUAAAAUAAAAUUAAAGAAUUAUUAAAUUUGUUGACUAUUUGUAUAAUUAUAUAAAUUUAGUCUUAAAAAAGUUUUUUUAUUUUUUAUUUAUUGGAUAUUGCAUAAAAGAAUGAUACAUAAUUAAGAGUAUAUUUGUAAAUAAAUUAUUAAUAUUUUAAAAUUUGAAGAUGGUCAAGAUAAAUUUAAAAAAAAAAAUCUAAUGGAGAAACAUAGAUAAUAGUUUAAAAAAAUAUAUAAGUAUAAAUCAUGAAAUUCAAUAUUACUUAAUAUUAUUUUCAAAAUUUUAAUUUAAUUUUAAUUGUAGUAAAAGAAAGUUUAGUGCUUUGUGAUUCCAACCAACUUUCUUUUUUACGUGGUGGCAUCAAAAUUGAUUGGUGAACAAAGAAUCAAAGCUUUCAUUGUUACGAUGCAUCUGAGUUUCUGAUGCGAUGGAGAAAGGGUUGAUCUACAAGAUUAACUAUGUAAUGUCUAAGUCAUUAAAAGAGUAAAAAGGUGGGAAUCAUAAUGAAUUUGAAUAUAUCAAAAAUGGUGUGUCUUCCCUUUUAAAUAGGAGAAACGGUUAAGAAAAAAAGUGUCGAUUGUGGAUUGUUGUCAAUUGUCAGAUUGAUUUGGACGGAUAAUAAAGCUUAAAUGGACGGAAUUGUGUGUUCCUAAGGAAGAAAGGGUAUACAUGUUUUGUGCACUUUACUAGCUAUGUUGCAUGUUAGGUCUUUCUUCUCGCGCCUUGCGUACAGUCGAAAACCAUUUCCCAAACACUUGUCUCUGCUUGUAGAAUGAGGGGUUUUCCAUACAUGAUCCAACCGGACUGCUGGAUCCGGGGAAGUGAAAGUCUUUGAUGUGAGGUCAGUGUCAUCUGGCAGUGAAAAUUGCCAGAAGCAAUCACCAUAAAAGAUUAGGCAACCAAGUAGGUUGUGAGGGAUCUUUUAAAGGUCAAAUUUAUAUUUAAGGCAAAGCAUACUUCCUUGUUAACAAACGUUGUGCUAGUGAAGAAGUCAAACAAUAAGUGGCACAUGUGUGUCAAUUAUUUGAAUUCGAACAAGGAUUCCAUCCAAAACGCUUAUCCACCUUUCACAUAUAAACAAGUUAGUGUAUAAUUCGAUUGACUUCAAAGUACUAUCAUUCAUGGAAGUGUAUUCUAGAUAUAACCAUAUUCUAAUGGACCCCAAUGAUAGGUCCAAGAAGGAAUUCAUUACUGCCGUGUGAAACUUUUGUUAUAAGAUACUGCCUCUUGGUCUAAAAAUGAUGGAGCAACAUACCAAAGAAUGAAGAACAUGGUCUUUAAGGACCUGAUAUAUGAUAUGUUGGGUGUUACAUGAAUGAUAUGAUAAUGAAGUCCAAAAAAGAGACUCAUCACACAAACCACUUAGAGGUCAUCUUCUAGGAGGUCAGGAAGUACAACAUGCAUUUAAACCUUGAAAAAUGCAUGUUUAAGUGAGAAUCGGGGAAGUUCCUAUGGUAUUAUCUAAUAGAAAGGGGGGUCUGAAUAAAUUCAAGGUUGUGAUAGAUAGGGCAUCCCAAAGACUAAAAAAAGGAUUUAUCAAUUAAACGAUAUGUUGAUUGCAUUGCCAUGGGUUUUUCUCAAAAUUGAAUCAUUAUCGUUGUCAUUCUACAAAUUUACUGAGGAAAGGUGCAGCCUUCAAAUGGAUGCCUGAGUGCGAGAUCGUGAUUACCAAACUCAAUGAGGUGUUGUCACAACCUCCCGUUUUGACCAGCCUUAAGGUAGACAUGACCAUUUUCGCUUAUCUAGACAUUAUGGUAGUUAUAGUGCAAAAGAUCAAGAAUCCCAUAAGUGAAUACACUUCAAUCGGAAGGUACUAUAAGGUUUGGAGAUAAGAUACCAAAAGAUAUAAAAUAUCACUUUGGCUCUCGUGUUGAUAACCUUAAAAUUGAGGAAUUAUUUUUUAGCACACCACAUCACGGUAAGGAUCAACCACCAUAUCAUGCAAGUGUUAUUCAAACAGGACUUAACGGGGAUAAUAAGUGAAAUUCUAGUUAACAGACUUUCGAUGUCACACGGGAUGUUAUGACAUCCAAUUCUGCGCAGACAAGAAUUAUACAGAACUUAAAAAGUAAGUGUAGUAAAUAAUCACAAGGAAUUGUUUACCCACUUCGGUCCAACAUGACCUACGUCUGGGGGCUACCAAGCCAGGGAGGAAAUCCACUAUUAGUAGUAUUAAUUCAGACCUUAAACCAACUGUUUAAUCCUAUCACUUAAUACCUACCCAAUGCAAUUGCAAUCUUACACUAAGAUCAGAGUUCCUACUCACUCCCCCUCAAUCACCUCAGUGAUUACAACCUUUAAAUAUAUUAAAGUUUUAGUGAAGUCACACUUCAAACAAUUCUUGAUUGUGCUUAAUAGCUUAAUCAAGAUACACAACACUCACGCUUAAAAGCUAGAGUGACAAACACUUACAACUCAAUGAACACCUAGUCCAAUACAAUCAUCUAGGUGAUAAUUGCUUCGGCUCACAAUACACCUAAUACAAGACACACACAAACAUACAGCAGUGAAGUAUAUGAAACAAUAAAAUCUUCACGCCUAAAUCCCCGAGUUCUGAAUGAAGGAUAAGCCAUCCUUUUAUAUAUGCAGCACUUUGGCCUUGUAUUUAUUUCCUGAAAUUAAGGUCAAGCCAGUUAACCUAAUUCCACAUCUUAGCGGUACUAACAAUAGCUAUUUGUUAGGUCAUUAAUUGUAGCUUAGUUGUAGUUUCCUAGUUUUAGCUCAGCUGUUGACUUCCUGAAAUAGCCUGAGAAAAAAUGCUGAAAACAGAAAAACUCAC
rnacentral:lncRNA from 1 species